rnacentral:rRNA from 1 species
UACGAGGGGGGCAAGUGUUGUUCGGAAUCACUGGGCGUAAAGGGAGCGUAGGCGGGCUCUUAAGUUGGAUGUUUAAAACCGGGGCCCUACCCCGGCGUGGCAUCCAAAACUGGGAGUCUUGAAUGGAACAGAGGCUAGUGGAAUUGGAGGUGUAGCGGUGGAAUGCGUAGAGAUCUCCAAGAACACCCGUUGCGAAGGCGGCUAGCUGGGUUCACAUUGACGCUGAGGCUCGAAAGCGUGGGGAGCAAACAGG